rnacentral:rRNA from 1 species
UACGAGGGGAGCAAGCGUUGUUCGGAUUUACUGGGCGUAAAGGGCGCGUAGGCGGUCGUGACAAGUCACUUGUGAAAUCUCCGGGCUUAACUCGGAACGGUCAAGUGAUACUGUCGGACUAGAGUACAGAAGGGGCAACUGGAAUUCUCGGUGUAGCGGUGAAAUGCGUAGAUAUCGAGAGGAACACCAGUAGCGAAGGCGGCACUCUGGGCCGGUACUGACGCUGGAGGAGCGAAAAGCGUGGGGAGCGAACAGG